rnacentral:rRNA from 1 species
CACGAACCGUACGAACGUUAUUCGGAAUUACUGGGCUUAAAGGGUUUGUAGGCGGCCUUAUAAGUCAGGUGUGAAAGCCCUCGGCUCAACCGAGGAAUAGCGCUUGAUACUGUAAGGCUUGAGGGAGACAGGGGUAAGCGGAACUGAUGGUGGAGCGGUGAAAUGCGUAGAGAUCGGGAAGAACAUCGGUGGCGAAAGCGCUCUACUGGACCGCAACUGACACUCAGGGACGAAAGCUAGGGGAGCGAAUGGG